rnacentral:rRNA from 1 species
CGCGGCCUAUCAGCUUGUUGGUGAGGUAAUGGCUCACCAAGGCUUCGACGGGUAGCCGGCCUGAGAGGGCGACCGGCCACACUGGGACUGAGAUACGGCCCAGACUCCUACGGGAGGCAGCAGUGGGGAAUAUUGCACAAUGGGCGCAAGCCUGAUGCAGCAACGCCGCGUGCGGGAUGACGGCCUUCGGGUCGUAAACCGCUUUCAGUAGGGACGAAGCUAACGUGAUGGUACCUACAGAAGAAGGACCGGCUAACUACGUGCCAGCAGCCGCGGUGAUACGUAGGGUCCGAGCGUUGUCCGGAAUUAUUGGGCGUAAAGGGCUUGUAGGCGGUCCGUCGCGUCAGGAGUGAAAACUCGGGGCUUAACCCCGAGCCUGCUUUUGACACGGGCGGACUAGAGGGAUGCAGGGGAGAACGGAAUUCCUGGUGGAGCGGUGGAAUGCGCAGAUAUCAGGAGGAACACCGGUGGCGAAGGCGGUUCUCUGGGCAUCACCUGACGCUGAGAAGCGAAAGCGUGGGGAGCAAACAGGCUUAGAUACCCUGGUAGUCCACGCCGUAAACGGUGGGCACUAGGUGUGGGGGACAUUCCACGUUCUCCGUGCCGAAGCUAACGCAUUAAGUGCCCCGCCUGGGGAGUACGG